rnacentral:rRNA from 1 species
AGGACGAACGCUGGCGGUGUGCUUCACACAUGCAAGUCGAACGGAGUAGCAAUACUCAGUGGCGGACGGGUGAGUAACACGUGGGAAUCUACCUUAGAGUGGGGAAUAACUGGCCGAAAGGCUAGCUAAUACCGCAUAUGCCGAAAGGUAAAAGGAGCAAUUCGCUUUAAGAUGAGCCCGCGUCCGAUUAGCUAGUUGGUAAGGUAAAAGCUUACCAAGGCGACGAUCGGUAGCUGGUCUGAGAGGAUGAUCAGCCACAAUGGAACUGAGACACGGUCCAUACUCCUACGGGAGGCAGCAGUGGGAAUUUUACGCAAUGGGCGAAAGCCUGACGUAGCGACACCGCGUGAGCGAAGAAGCCUUUUGGGGUGUAAAGCUCUGUCAACAGGGACGAAAAAAAUGACGGUACCUGUGGAGGAAGCAUCGGCUAACUACGUGCCAGCAGCCGC